rnacentral:Y_RNA from 1 species
GGCCGGUCCAAAGGUAGUGAGUUAUCUCACUUGAUUGUUCACAGUCAGUUACAGAUUGAACUCCUUAUUCUACUACUUUUGCCCCUCCUCACUACUGCACUUGACUAGUCUUAA